GCUCGUAUAGCUCAGAGGUAGAGCACUCCCUUGGUAAGGGAGAGGUCGCGGGUUCAAUUCCCGCUAUGAGCU
rnacentral:tRNA from 1 species